rnacentral:rRNA from 1 species
GAUGAACGCUGGCGGCGUGCCUAAUACAUGCAAGUCGAGCGAACGGACGAGAAGCUUGCUUCUCUGUUGUUAGCGGCGGACGGGUGAGUAACACGUGGAUAACCUACCUAUAAGACUGGGAUAACUUCGGGAAACCGGAGCUAAUACCGGAUAAUAUUUUGAACCGCAUGGUUCAAAAGUGAAAGACGGUCUUGCUGUAAGUUAUAGCUGGAUCCGCGCGGCAUUAGCUAGUUGGUAAGGUAACGGCUUACCAAGGCAACGAUGCAUAGCCGACCUGAGAGGGGGAUCGGCCGCCCUGGAACUGGAACACGGUCCAGACUCCUACGAGAGGCAGCAGUAUGGAAUCUUCCGCAGUGGGCGAAAGCCUGACGGAGCAACGCCGCGUGAGUGAUGAAGGUCUUCGGAUCGUAAAACUCUGUUAUGAGGGAAGAACAUAUGUGUAAGUAACUGUGCACAGCUUGACGGUACCUAAUCAGAAAGCCACGGCUAACUACGUG